GACGAACGCUGGCGGCGUGCCUAAUACAUGCAAGUAGAACGCUGAAGAGAGGAGCUUGCUCUUCUUGGAUGAGUUGCGAACGGGUGAGUAACGCGUAGGUAACCUGCCUUGUAGCGGGGGAUAACUAUUGGAAACGAUAGCUAAUACCGCAUAACAAUGGAUGACACAUGUCAUUUAUUUGAAAGGGGCAAUUGCUCCACUACAAGAUGGACCUGCGUUGUAUUAGCUAGUAGGUGAGGUAAUGGCUCACCUAGGCGACGAUACAUAGCCGACCUGAGAGGGUGAUCGGCCAAACUGGGACUGAGACACGGCCCAGACUCCUACGGGAGGCAGCAGUAGGGAAUCUUCGGCAAUGGGGGCAACCCUGACCGAGCAACGCCGCGUGAGUGAAGAAGGUUUUCGGAUCGUAAAGCUCUGUUGUAAGUCAAGAACGGGUGUGAGAGUGGAAAGUUCACACUGUGACGGUAGCUUAACAGAAAGGGACGGCUAACUACGUG
rnacentral:rRNA from 1 species